CCUACGGGUGGCAGCAGUGAGGAAUAUUGGUCAAUGGGAGCAAUCCUGAACCAGCCAUGCCGCGUGCAGGACGACGGCUCUACGAGUUGUAAACUGCUUUUGUACAGGGGUAAAAUGCCUUACGUGUAGGGUUUUGAAAGUACGGUACGAAUAAGGAUCGGCUAACUCCGUGCCAGCAGCCGCGGUAAUACGGAGGAUCCGAGCGUUAUCCGGAUUCAUGGGGGUUAAAGGGUGCGUAGGUGGUGUUUGAAGUUAGCGGUGAAAUACCGAUGCUCAACAUCGGGGCUGCAGGUAAUACUGUAAGACUUGAGAUCAGAUGCGGCAGGCGGAAUGUGUGGUGUAGCGGUGAAAUGCAUAGAUAUUACAAAGAACACCGAUUGCGAAGGCAGCUUGCUAGGCCGGAUCUGACACUGAUGCACGAAAGCGUGGGGAUCGAACAGGAUUAGAUACCCUUGUAGUC
rnacentral:rRNA from 1 species